rnacentral:rRNA from 1 species
GACGGGGGGUGCGAGCGUUAUCCGGAAUCAUUGGGCGUAAAGCGUCCGCAGGUGGCAGUUCAAGUCUGCUGUCAAAGACUGGGGCUUAACCCUAGAAAGGCAGUGGAAACUGAACAGCUAGAGUGCGGUAGGGGUAGAGGGAAUUCCCGGUGUAGCGGUGAAAUGCGUAGAGAUCGGGAAGAACACCAGUGGCGAAAGCGCUCUGCUGGACCUGCACUGACACUGAGGGACGAAAGCUAGGGGAGCGAAUGGG